CAGCCGCCACGGUAAUACAGAGGUCUCAAGCGUUGUUCGGAUUCAUUGGGCGUAAAGGGUGCGUAGGUGGCGGUGUAAGUCUAACGUGAAAUCUCGGGGCUCAACCUCGAAAUUGCGUCGGAUACUGCAUUGCUAGAGGAUUGUAGAGGAGAGUGGAAUUCAUGGUGUAGCAGUGAAAUGCGUAGAUAUCAUGAGGAAGACCAGUUGCGAAGGCGACUCUCUGGGCAACUCCUGACACUGAGGCACGAAGGCUAGGGGAGCAAACGGGAUUAGAUACCCCCGUAGUCCCUGUCUCUUAUAC
rnacentral:rRNA from 1 species